UCUUGCACGGUCACUCACUUUUUGAGAACUGCUUUCUCCAGACAGAUUUACCAUACAGUACUAUACUCUUUGUAUUUCUUAAAGAUUGAUGAAAAUGACAUCCAAGACCUAAUCAGUGACUUAUAAAUGUUCAUGUGUUCAUCCCCUGAAUGUUUAAAGAAAACUGGCUGUAAAAGUGAUGAUUCACUGUAAAUUCUUCAAAAGGUGCCAAUAAUUAUUUUGUGAUUGUUUUGUUUGUUUCUUAAAUUUCUGGUUUGCAAUAUGGAUAUUUAUUUCAGUGCCUGUUAAAGUCUAUUUUAAAGCAGUUUGAAUAAAUAAAGACUGCUGUAUUU